GAUGAAGAACGCAGCGAAAUGCGAUACGUAAUGUGAAUUGCAGAAUUCAGUGAAUCAUCGAGUCUUUGAACGCACAUUGCGCCCCCUGGUAUUCCGGGGGGCAUGCCUGUCCGAGCGUCAUUGCUGCCCUCAAGCACGGCUUGUGUGUUGGGCCUCCGUCCUCCUCCCGGGGGACGGGCCCGAAAGGCAGCGGCGGCACCGCGUUCGGUCCUCGAGCGUAUGGGGCUUCGUCACCCGCUCUUGUAGGCCCGGCCGGCGCUUGCCGACACAUCAAUCUUUUUUCCAGGUUGACCUCGGAUCAGGUAGGGAUACCCGCUGAACUUAAGCAUAUCAAUAAGCGGAGGA
rnacentral:misc_RNA from 1 species